rnacentral:rRNA from 1 species
GACGAACGCUGGCGGCGUGCUUAACACAUGCAAGUCGAACGGAAAGGCCCUGCUUGCAGGGUACUCGAGUGGCGAACGGGUGAGUAACACGUGGGUGAUCUGCCCUGCACUUCGGGAUAAGCCUGGGAAACUGGGUCUAAUACCGGAUAGGAGCCAUUUUUAGUGUGAUGGUUGGAAAGUUUUUUCGGUGUAGGAUGAGCUCGCGGCCUAUCAGCUUGUUGGUGGGGUAAUGGCCUACCAAAGCGGCGACGGGUAGCCGGCCUGAGAGGGUGGACGGCCACAUUGGGACUGAGAUACGGCCCAGACUCCUACGGGAGGCAGCGGUGGGGAAUAUUGCACAAUGGGCGCAAGCCUGAUGCAGCGACGCCGCGUGGGGGAUGACGGCCUUCGGGUUGUAAACUCCUUUCGCUAGGGACGAAGCUUUUUGUGACGGUACCUAGAUAAGAAGCACCGGCUAACUACGUG